rnacentral:rRNA from 1 species
AUUGAACGCUGGCGGCAUGCCUUACACAUGCAAGUCGAACGGCAGCGCGGACUUUGGUCUUGCGGCGAGUGGCGAACGGGUGAGUAAUACAUCGGAACGUACCCGGUUGUGGGGGAUAACUAGUGGAAAGAUUAGCUAAUACCGCAUACGACCUGAGGGUGAAAGUGGGGGAUCUCAAGACCUCACGCAGCAAGAUCGGCCUAUGUCGGAUUAGCUAGUUGGUGGGGUAAAGGCCCACCAAGGCGACGAUCAGUAGCUGGUCUGAGAGGACAAUCAGCCACACUGGAACUGAGACACGGCCCAGACUCCUACGGGAGGCAGCAGUGGGGAAUUUUGGACAAUGGGGGCAAGCCUGAUCCAGCAAUGCCGCGUGUGUGAAGAAGGCCUUCGGGUUGUAAAGCACUUUAGUCCGGAAAGAAAUGGAGCUGGUUAAUACCUGGCGUGGAUGACGGUACCGGAAGAAUAAGCACCGGCUAACUACGUG